rnacentral:lncRNA from 1 species
CUGUCUCCAGCCCUUCUCCAACAUGUAAGAGCUUCCUCAUCUUUCACUCAGACUUGCAUGGGUGACAGUCCUGCUUUGUUAGAUUACCCACACCUGAGAAACAAAAGACUCAGAAGCAUUUGUUCAUACAGUAACACAAAUCUAAAUUCUUUUUUUUUUAAUCUUCUUGCUCUGUAAGUGUUCUCAUUUCCUUCAUUAGGAACAUUCAUCUGAGAUUGCAUCUCUUACUUCACAAAGUCUGAAAGAUCCAAUAUAGUAGUUAUCCUUUAUUCCCUGCUAUUACUCAGAAAUUAUAUAAAGAAAAAUCACACUUCCCAACUAAUAUACAACAAAGAAGAAUAACAGACUUCUCACUUAGUCACUGAAUUACUUGCCAUCUUCAAACUGUCAACAAAUUCUUGAUGGAAGUAUUCUGUGAUUCACAUCUUAAACAAUAAUUUCCCUGAUCACUUUUACCUUAAGGUACUCCCUUGACUGUUUAGAGAGGCUGGUUAGUUUGUUUGGGGUUUGAUACCAUAUCAAUGAAAUAUGCUUGAAAGUAUACAAGGAGAUCAAUUCUACGAAGCUCAAGUUCAUUGAUUUGAAGUAUUUCACCCUGAGGUCAACCAGGACUUGUGGAGUCUCAUCAUGAUGAUUUCCAUGUGUGCUUGGAUGCUGAAGCAGCCCAGAUGGAAAAGGAUGGCUGGCAGAAAGUGAGUUACCACUCAGGGAAAGCAAAGGCUGAACAACCAUGGCUCUCAAGACCGAGGAAGACAGUGUGGUGCAGAACUCCCCAGGCAGCAUUAAUCUGCAAUGCUACGCUUAUGCCCUAUGGCUCAGUGACACCAGUGUCUUCGUCAAGCCCCAGGACACUUCCGGACAUACCAAAUCAGUUCACUGACCAGCAUCACUUCAAGUUUUACCAGCUACUUUUCAUCCAGAAACUGCAUAAUCAUAAUCAUGCUGCUGUCAUCCUCCUUUGAAGACAUUAGUUCUAGGAGAAUGCCUUCUCCAUUCUCUUGGCAGCUAAGCCUAUAGCACAUCAUCAUCUCCUCUACUCCUUGACCCUAAACAAAGACCCUGUUUUAUCAUAUGACCUCCUGGGUUUUUUUUCAUCUAAACUCUUUGCUCCAUAUUUUGAGCCAUAUUAUUAUAGAUCCCAUGGAAUGUUUGAAUACUGCAAUGUUCAACUUCUCUUUUCAUGGCAUUGCUUCCCUAUGAAUACUGCAAGUAUAGCGGGGAAAAGAAUUACUUGUCCAUGGGCCACCUUGAGAAACAACAUUAGCCUGCAAAUAAAUGACAUGAAACUCAACA